CUGGUUUAACCACCAGAAGGAUAUUGCUUUUUUAGUAAAGGUGCGGGUUCAAGUCCCGUAAAGGACU
rnacentral:tRNA from 1 species